rnacentral:rRNA from 1 species
GACGAACGCUGGCGGCGUGCCUAAUACAUGCAAGUAGAACGCAGUUGCGAACGGGUGAGUAACGCGUAGGUAACUGCCUCAUAGCGGGGGAUAACUAUUGGAAACGAUAGCUAAUACCGCAUACUGUGAGAUGGACCUGCGUUGUAUUAGCUAGUUGGUUAGGUAAAGGCUCACCAAGGCGACGAUACAUAGCCUACCUGAGAGGGGGAUCGGCUAACCGGGGAAUGGGAAACGGCCCAGAAUCCUACGGGAGGCAGCAGUAGGGAAUCGUCGGACAAGGACGGAAGGCUGACCGAGCAACGCCGGGUGGGGGAAGAAGGUUUUCGGAUCGGAAAGGUGUGUUGUUAGAGAAGCGGUAACUAAACAGAAAGGGACGGCUAACUACGUGCCAGCAGCCGCGGUAAUAC